AGUGAACGCUGGCGGUAGGCCUAACACAUGCAAGUCGAACGGCAGCACAGUAAGAGCUUGCUCUUACGGGUGGCGAGUGGCGGACGGGUGAGGAAUACAUCGGAAUCUACUUUUUCGUGGGGGAUAACGUAGGGAAACUUACGCUAAUACCGCAUACGACCUACGGGUGAAAGCAGGGGAUCUUCGGACCUUGCGCGAUUGAAUGAGCCGAUGUCGGAUUAGCUAGUUGGCGGGGUAAAGGCCCACCAAGGCGACGAUCCGUAGCUGGUCUGAGAGGAUGAUCGCCCCACCUGGAACUGGGACCGGGUCCAGCCCCCACGGGGGGGCCGCGGUGGGGAAUUUUGGCAAAGGGGCGCAACCCUGACCCAGCCAUCCCGGGGGGGUGAAGAAGGCCUUCGGGUUGUAAAGCCUUUUUGUUGGGAAAAAAAAGCAGCAGGUUAAUCCCCCGCUGUUUUGACGGUACCAAAAAAAUAAGCACCGGCUAACUUCGU
rnacentral:rRNA from 1 species